AUAUGCGUUGUUAUACAACACAUAUUGUGUAGUCUAUAUAUCACAGCCAACAUUAGUUUUUGGGUGUUGUCAUGGUAUUAUCAUUUUUAAUAAUAGUAAGCCCCAUGCACUGUACUUUUUACAAAAGGAAAGCCUACAGUUCAAAAGCAUAGAGUAUCUAUGGCUAAAGACUACUAAAAAAGAAAUUCUAAUCAAAAAGCAAGACCAAAGUACCUAAUAGUAAUAGACCCGCCUAUGCGGUGAGUUAAGCCAAAUUAUUUUUUUCAAAUGUUCUUGUACUCUUCAAGCCAAAUUUCUCCAGGUCUUUGCAGCUCUCGAGGAACUUUGGCAAUUGCUUCGGCCCAAGAUAUUUCCCUGUACUCGAGUCCAUGUUUUUUACAAAGCUCCUUAAUGUA